rnacentral:ncRNA from 1 species
GUCAGGACGACCUGACACCAUAUGAGCUUUCCGGGACGACCCGA